rnacentral:rRNA from 6 species
CCUGGCGGCCGUAGCGCGGUGGUCCCACCUGACCCCAUGCCGAACUCAGAAGUGAAACGCCGCAGCGCCGAUGGUAGUGUGGGGUCUCCCCAUGCGAGAGUAGGGAACUGCCAGGC